rnacentral:lncRNA from 1 species
UGGGAGAUGGUGGACGGACCGGGUCCGUAGGGAACCCUACCGGGAUUGUGGUCUCCCAUACCGGACGGGGUAUGAAGAUCUUAUGUGUUUUGGCGCCCAUACCGGACGGGGUAUGGGGACGGCCCGUUUCACCCUCAUACCGGACGGGGUAAUGAGGUCUAUGGUUUGGCGCCCAUACCGGACGGGGUAUGGGGACGGCCC